CAAAAGCGUAUAUUAAAGUUGUUGCAGUUAAAAAGCUCGUAGUUGAACCUUGGGCUUGGCUGGCCGGUCCAUCUUUUUUGAUGCGUACUGGACCCAGCCGAGCCUUUCCUUCUGGCUAGCCUUUUGGCGAACCAGGACUUUUACUUUGAAAAAAUUAGAGUGUUCAAAGCAGGCCUUUGCUCGAAUAUAUUAGCAUGGAAUAAUGGAAUAGGACGUUAUGGUUCUAUUUUGUUGGUUUCUAGGACCAUCGUAAUGAUUAAUAGGGACGGUCGGGGGUAUCAGUAUUCAGUUGUCAGAGGUGAAAUUCUUGGAUUUACUGAAGACUAACUACUGCGAAAGCAUUUACCAAGGACGUUUUCAUUAA
rnacentral:rRNA from 1 species